GGCUUAGUGGUCUAGUCGUAUGAUUGCUGCUUCGUAAGUUAUACAAAUUCACUACUCCCCCACAAUAUCUAACAAAGCGUAGGGGUUUCUUACCCAGAUACUAAGUAUCGUGAAUGUAGCAGGUCCCGGGUUCAAAUCCCGGCUGAGCCC